UACGUAGGGUCCAAGCGUUAUCCGGAAUCACUGGGCGUAAAGCGUGCGUAGGCGGCGCGUUAAGUGAGAUGUUAAAACGUGGGGCUCAACCCUGUCGGUGCAUCUCAUACUGGCGUGCUAGAGUACAGCAGAGGCAAGUGGAAUUUGUAGUGUAGCAGUGAAAUGCGUAGAUAUUACAAGGAACACCAAUGGCGAAGGCAGCUUGCUGGGCUGCUCCUGACGCUGAGGUACGAAAGCGUGGGGAGCAAACAGG
rnacentral:rRNA from 1 species